GUUUUGUGCAUCGGACCUCUGGACUCCGGGACUGGAGCUCGCUGGUGAAACAUAGAAAUAUAGAUGUGGAGCUGACACACAUCACCCAGAACUUCCACCUUUCACCAGAGCGCAGCAUGGAGCAGCUCCGGCAUCCUGCAGAAAUAGAAGCCUGGUGUUUCUGCUGCAGAGGGCUCCUGACUGACGGAGCUGAGACGGAGCGCCAGUGGAAGCACACACAUUGACUAAAGUAGAAACCUAUCAGCUCUGCUAAUGGGGAGGAGCAGCGACAGACUGUACACACAUCAGGUGGAAUUUAGCAGUUAGGCAACACUGAUUGCUCAGCUAAAGUGGCGGGUAAAUUAAAGUAGAGUUAAAGAGUGAUUUGUGACAGACAGCUACUCAGAUGACUGCAGACAUUCUAACAAAACCUGUUACAAAAGCAACAAUAAUUAAGUUCAAGAAAUGGUUCUUUGGAAACUAAAGCCAUGAGAGACCAUGGUAUUUGGGUUAAGAUGAUGAGAACAAGAGGGGGUGUUGAGUUUUAUGUUCUCAUUCACAUAAAUAUACAUGAUGUGAUGUAUAGUUUGACUUACAGUGUUCAUAUGUAUAUGUUUUAUACAACGUUUAUUUUGUAUGCACUUAAAGAACAGUGUACAUGUUGAGAUCUUAUUUUGUUUUUCAUGAUGUGACUUCCUGUUGUGAUGCGUUAUGUUUUGCGACCUACUUUACGUUAAGAUGAAAGAGCGGGAGAUUGGUUGUUGUGUUCCAUGGCUGCUGAUGAAAUGCUAUUCCAGUUAGCUGUGAGGAAGGAAUGAAUAAAAAGGUGACGUGAUAACA